GACGUAGGGCGCGAGCGUUGUCCGGAUUUAUUGGGCGUAAAGAGCUCGUAGGCGGCUCAGAAAGUCGGGUGUGAAACCUCCAGGCUCAACCUGGAGACGCCACCUGAUACUGCUGUGGCUAGAGUCCGGUAGGGGAACACGGAAUACCCGGUGUAGCGGUGAAAUGCUUAGAUAUCGGGUGGAACACCAGUGGCGAAGGCGGUGUUCUGGGCCGGAACUGACGCUGAGGAGCGAAAGCGUGGGUAGCAAACAGG
rnacentral:rRNA from 1 species